GCAUUAUAUCAAGGCAAUGUGCAACACAUAGAGUCCAGUAUCAAUGCUUUCUUUUCUCCAUAACCAUUAACCCCGCUACCCGGUAGUUGCUUGCAUUAUCCGUUAUCACUUGAACCACAAUUUCUUCUCCAACUUCAUCAAGCAACCGAAACAACAAUUUAGCCUCUUUGACAUGCUUGGAUGCAUCAACACAUUUCAAAAAAAUUGUGCCACUAAGAUUAUUGACAAGGAAAUUAAUUAGACUCCUAUGUCUAAUAUCUUGCCAACCAUCAGACAUGAUUGAAACUCUAGUAAAUGGCCAUGUACUCUUAAUGUCCUUAACAAAUCUUUAUGUUGUUUUCAAUUCUUCCUUCAAAAUCCAUGUCCUAAGCCCGUAUAUGCUGGGAGGCUUAAGUCCCCGACCAUAUGCACAACCCGACCGAAGCAUGUUAACAAACGAAGGACUCCUUGCCACAUUAAAAGGUAUUGCAUCUUCAUAAAAAAAAAAAUCCUCAGUAUCUAAAUAGACUUGUUGGCGUAGUUCUUUUGCAUUUUGAGGUGCAAUAGUGGUUGGUUGGUCACCACUUGCAUUUCCUUUUGCAUAUAUCUAUCCAUAGACCC